rnacentral:rRNA from 1 species
GGGCUGCAGUUAGGAAUAUUCUGCAAUGCGCGAAAGCGUGACAGAUUGAGCCAGAGUGAUUUUCAAAAUUGAAAAUCUUUUGCCAAAUAUAAAAAGUUUGGCGAAUAAGGACUGGGUAAGACGGGUGCCAGCCGCCGCGGUAAUACCCGCGGUCCAAGUCGCAGCCAUUAUUAUUGAGUCUAAAACAUCCGUAGCUUGCUUAAUAAGUUUCCUGUGAAAUUCCCUCUCUCAAGGGUGGAGCGAGCAGGGAGUACUGUUAGGCUAGAGACCGGAAGACGUGAAAAGUACGUUCAAAGUAGCGGUAAAAUGUGUUAAUCUUGAGCGGACUAACAACAGCGAAGGCAUUUCACGAGGACGGUUCUGACAGUAAGGGAUGAAGGCUAGGGGCGCAAAACGGAUUAGAUACCCGGGUAGUC